AGUUAUAACGAGUUUACACGUUGUUUUGUCGUUUUGCAUAAUUACGGAUAAUUAGUAGAUUUUUUUCUAACAUACAUCCUCUUCCGAUAUAUCGGUCGAUAACGGAAUGCGCGAUUCUUUGCGCACUUUUUUGUCUUCUAUUUUCUAGCUUUAUUUUCAUAAUAUUGAAACUUUUCUCGCUUUUACACUAUCUGAUUAAUAAUUUUGUGUUUAUAAUUGUGAUCGAUCGAUGUUGUAUUAAAUUCAAUAUUCGUAUAUACUUAUAUAUAUUAUGUAAGUAUAUAUAUAUAUGUUUUUUCGUAACCCGUUUGAUUUAUUUUUAAAAUAAUCUGAUUAAAUAAAAUUAGAUGCAAUAUAAAUUCGCGAUGUAGAGUCAGUGUUGGUACAUAUUCUUCAUGAUCCUGGGACUGAAAGGUCAUCGUGCAAAAGAUCAACAAAAACUGGUUCAAUAAAAGAAGAAUCAUUCGUUAUCGUUCUGAGGCAGAAUGCUCAUCGUGCAAAGGAUCAGCAAAAACUAAUAAUCAUUGCUUCUCAAGUCAAUUUCGAUCUACAUCGCAAAUGAGUAUUUUGGAACCACCAUAGAACUUUUUAAGUAACGGAAUUUUCUAAAAUUCCAUCCCUGCCAUGGCUCACGGCGGCGACAUCCCCCACUACGCACGACGACAUCAUUCCCAUUACGACGCUACUUCGAUCCGCCUACCGCAGCGCAGCCGAUAUAUACGUAGUUGCGCUCCACGACUCUUCGGUUAUAUUGUUCGGUCGUUCGACUACUACAAUUCGGUUAUAUCGUUCUGUCGUUCAACCAAUUCACUUCGGUUAUUUUUCAUCGUUCGUCAGUUACACUACGUGGCUACUAUACGUUACGUCUCCUUCUUAUACGAAUUUCGUUCUCUAAUAUUUUAAACGAUUGUACAGUGUUACUUGGCAACUAUUAAUAAAUUAGUUUUGUUAAGUUUAAAUCAGUGUUUGUUCAUAUAACCCCGGCUGUGCUUCCCAGGCAGCCUCGCGUAAUUCUAACUUAAAUUCAUUAAAUUCUCUCGUGAGCCUCAAGAUCUUACUACUACGCAGUCGACAAGUUCGGAGCUAAUAAGGCUACCACUAUAAACGUGAAACCUUUACCUUGGUUAUUAUUUACUAGAAGUGCUUACGAAUCGCACGAGUUAUUGUAACCAUCCAUUAAAUAAUAACUAGAGGUGCGUACGAAUUGCACGAGUUAUUAUUCUGCAUUACCAAAUCAUAACUUCCUUUAUUUCGAGAAUACGACGUGGUGGUAGAAAGUAUCAUUUUCGACGGAUACUAGGGUCGUUUUAUGAUCCGCUUCGCGAUCACUCGGAUUUGGGAACCAUUCCAUCGGAGACGACUAGCACACGUGAGGGAGUUCCGUAUCGUUUCGUACCCAUCGCGACAAAAGAGAAGACCAGCAACCCGAGUGAAUUAGCAUUGUCCCAUCCCUGGGCGAAAGACACCCGAAUAAUUAUUCAUUGUCUAUCAUCCAUCAGCUCUACUGAAGAGGACGUUUCACCGGGAGACGGUUCGUAUUAAUGUCGGUCCCCUGCCACGAACAGCGCAUAGCAGGUUACCGUCAAAAUGACAUGAAUCUCACGAAACUAGAAGUUCUUCAGAUCCGAGGGGAAGAUGAAGAAACUGCCCUGUUUUUUGCUCUUCAAACCCUAUCUCCCUGCUAGAAGUUUCCAGGGAACUCGAUCGCAUAUGCAGAAGACAAAACUAUUCCCGGAUCUCCCGAAGAUAUCUCCAGGUCAUUUUGGGGUACCCAACGAAUACUCUUACGAGAUAUGAAUUGCAUGCGUUUCAGCUGCCGGGUUCUGGAAUAGGAACCGGAUUCUCUUUCGCGCGACCGGCUUAGGUUCGACUGACUCGUUUGCAACGGCUGUUCGCACGAAACGCUUCUCCAUGUCAGUCCUCCAGGAUCUCACUGGAGUAUUUGCUACUACCAUCAAGAUCUGCAACGACGGCGGCUUCAGGUUCUGAAAAAAUACCAAGCCCCGGAGGAUGAAACAGGAGAACGAUAUCGUCAUGUACCUUAGGAUACAUGCCCACGAGGAACCGCGUGGAGGUGCGUCUCAUUGCUCGGUCUUGCGACGGCCCGGCUAUAGGACGACAGCAUAAUAGAAAAACGCCCGUGGACGGAAAUCUAACUCACAUACUGAUCGAGCUGCGAAGACCUCGAAAAUCGACCGUGUGAGCCAAAAUUCACAGGAAUAAUAGCUGUUCGAUGCUCCUUUUUAGCACUAGGCGACUAUCUACCUAAGUUUGACUGUGCCACAGGAGCCGGCACGACGGUAUAUAAGUAGAUAGGAACAGUAUAUUGUGAAGGUGGACACACUUGGGGUGCCUGCACCUAUGCUACAUCGCCUAUUACGGUAUACGCUAAGAAACCUCCUACGGACAGCAGUCACCACAGCCAAGUGACAGGACUCGGAACAGCCCAAAACUCAUGCCGGCGAGACAGGGUGAGCGGCUUAGCCACGACCAACAUCAUCGCAGCAACUAGUUAUCACAGUACCACAAUCCUUGACACUUGUUCCAUAGGAUAGGAUGGGAAUUGUGGGAUAGCGGAUUUUUGGUAGAGUGUUGGGUUGUAGUUUAAUAAGAAAUUAAUUUAUUUCAGGGGCUACGAUUCUGUAAUUGUACAAGUCUCUUCAUCUUUUAUCAAUGACUCCACUUGACUUUUUUCUUCCAAAGUAUCAACUUUUCUUAACUUUUUUCAUUCAAAACCAAUGACUUUAUCGCGACUUUUCUUUUGCCUACAAUAUUGAUUAAAUAUCUGAUUAAUUUUCAUUUAAUAAUUUAAUAAAAAAGAAAGUUUCGAUGCUUAAUUGCCGAAAUUCCAAAGGAAGCUGACACGACAAGCGUUAAAGGUAAUCAAGAGUCCGUUUUCGUUAACAUAACAUGUAGCCAACGACCGUAUGCUUCAAAUUUUUUAAUAUUGGAAGUUUAAAUAGAUUUUAUUUUGUGUUUAUCGAGUUACAAACUUUGUAAUGUUUAAUCGAUGUACUAUGGUUUAUAUUGAAUUCGAUUAAGCUAAUCUUAUUUUACCG